UAAGCAGUUGUUGUUUGUUUCUGUAAUUCUAUUUAGUCAUUACAAUGAAAACAGCUUCAUUGUAUCAACUUGAUUCAAACUUUUUAUAAAAAAAAAGCUUCAAUUUUUUUUUCAAUAAAUGACAAAAAUACAUUUUUUUUUUGUAAUUUUUUUUUCAGUUUUUUCUUUGUGUACAAUACAUAUAUCAGCUGUAUCGUUAAAUUUGCUUCGUUGGCCUUGGACAAAACAUAAGCUACAAUUAGAAGAUGACGCUCUCUCUACUGAAAAUUUUGGAGAACGUAUUCCGGAUGAUGACGAUAAUGUUGCUGAUGAUGAUGACGAUCUUGAUUUUCCCAUUAAUCAGCAUCAAUCAAGUAGGACGCCACUUAAUAUUCGGGAAAAUACUUACAACUUGCAAAAUUACCCGGAACACUCAAAUACGAUAGCACCACACCCAGUAAUAGCCUUUUUUUUUUGUAUGCAGACGCAAAAAUCAUUAACAUAUUUUAGUUUCUUGAUUAUUUGCCUCAUGAAUCAACCAGUGACUUUAAUCCAGAAGAAGUGAAAAGGGAGAACGGUUUGCUACGUCGAAUGAUAUCUUCAAACGUGCCUCAAUCGAUUCCUCCCUCUCCACCGCAACCUAUUUAUAUUCCUUAUGCAAUACCUUCUCCUAGUGCACCACCAUGUGGCUCAUGCGGAUCUCCAGUAACAGUGGUGUCUUUAUCCUCAAAUGGUGACACAAAAUUAGCCUCCUCUAAAUGUAAAUGUUGUUGCGAUACGAACGAGACUAAGCCAAAAUAUACUUCAAGUGAUGAUAAGACAGCUGAAGAUAUAGAGACUAUUCAAAAUAAUGAAGGUGAAGAGGAUAAACAGGAUCAGGAACAUGUAUCCAAAGAUACAUCAAAAAAAGAAAAGACCGAAAAUGAUGAAGAAGAGGAUUUGAACGAAAAUGAGGACAUGUCUGAUUUGUCAGUUGAUGAUGAGGAUGUUGACACGUCUGAUUGAUUCGUUUGGAAAAUGCAUGUCAUCCUAAUUACGUUAUUCUAUUGAUUGAAUGCGUUAAACAAAAAUUUAUGAUAAAUGAAUUCUAUUUUAGUAAAACUUGAAAAUCAGUUAAACCAAAUAUUUAAGAAAUGUUUAAAAAUUUCAACGUCACAAAAGGAGCCUUUGCCAAAAAAACUUAAACUCCACAAAACUGUUAUUGCACUUAUCCUUUGAUUGAAAACAUUGAAAGGAAAGAAACGAAAAUAAUGACCAAGACAUUGGGUUCCCUGUUUAUUUGAUAAAUAAAAAGUUUCAAUGUUUUCCUCGUAAAUAUUUUCAUCAUCGAAAUGUAUGGGAACGCUUGACGGAUUAUCAGUUAUAUACGGGAAUCCACAA